rnacentral:ncRNA from 1 species
CUUACACAUGCAAGUCUCCGCACCCCUGUGAAAACGCCCUCUAANCCCCUUAAGGGACGAGGAGCCGGUAUCAGGCUCAAUCAUUAGCCCAAGACACCUAGCUUUGCCACACCCACAAGGGAAUUCAGCAGUGAUUAACAUUGAUAAUAAGCGCAAGCUUGACUCAGUCAGAGUAAUUAGAGCCGGCAAAUCUGGUGCCAGCCGCCGCGGCUAUACCACGANGGCCCAAACUGAUCCCCUUCGGCGUAAAGCGUGAUUAAAGUGACCCCAGACUGUAGAUAAACUAGUAUUUAGCUGUGNAUACGCUGGUNUUCUAGGAAAAACAAAAACGAAAGUUGCUACAGCAGAACCCGCUUGACCUCACGACAGCUAAGACACAAACUGGGAUUAGAUACCCCACUAUGCUUAGCCGUAAACCUUAACUUACACCCAAAUCGCCAGGGAACUACGAGCAACGCUUAAAACCCAAAGGACUUGACGGUGCCCCACAUCCACCUAGAGGAGCCUGUCCUAUAAUCGAUAACCCCCGUUCUACCUCACCACUUUUUGNCCUAUCAGCCUGUAUACCUCCGUCGUCAGCUUACCACGUGAGCGCCCUCCAGUAAGCGUAAAAGCCCCNCCGCUAAAACGUCAGGUCAAGGUGCAGCUAAUGAAGUGGGAAGAGAUGGGCUACACUCUCUAGUUUAGAAGACACGAAAGACUACUCAUGCAACUUNAGUCAGAAGGCGGAUUUAGAAGUAAAUGGGGACAAGAGAGCCCCCUUUNWACACNGGCCCUGGGGGUGUGUACACACCGCCCGUCWCCCUCUUCGAAGCCNNUAUAUAUUAGUUUCUUUACACCUCUAAUGCAAAUAAGAAGAGGCANAGU